CAGGACGGGGGCGGGGCGGGGCGAGAACAAAGCCAACCUCCAUUCCCGCCCCCUCCGGCGCUCUCGCCGUGCUCACCCCUCCCCCGCGCGGGGCUGGGCGCCCGGGAGCUUCCUCCCAGAACCUGGCUGGGGGUUCGCGGCUUGCUUCUGUACAGACUCGAACAUCUCUCAAGCAUCCUCACUCCCGCCACCUUAUGAAGCCGUGUUGUUAUUUCUAUUUUAUAGAUCAGCAAACCGAGGUGACGCCAGUCCCCACAGAUAUUAGCUGACUUUCACAAUAAUAUCUCCUCUUUCCAUUUAACCUGCACAAACAGCUUAACUCCUUAUGAAAUUGUGUAAUAUCAGCACUGGAGUGGGCCUUAGAGACCUAUUAUGAAAUCAUAGAAUACCGACUCCUGUGAAAUCGUGGAAUGUCUGUCUGCAUUGGAAUACUGUAACCUCUGUUUACCACUGGAGAAGCUGAUGGGCAAAGAGGAAGCGACCAGCACGGUCACCUGGCCUGUCCAGAGCACGUGAAGACCGCCAGGGAGAACCGCAUGUGACAUGGAGGGGCCGUGCUGCCUGUAAGACAAGGAACACCUGGCCUACCAGAAGCUAGUGGAGAGGCGGGGAAGAGACUGCCCUCACAGUCCUCAGCGGGAACCAGCCCUGCUGCACCGUGACCGUGGACUUCAAGCCUCCAGACCUGAGACAGGACCUUUCUGCCGUUUAAAGCCACCUGGUCAGAGCAGCGCAGACUGAGCCACCUAGAACUGCCACAUCCGGUGGACCAGCCCCCUGUGGAUUCACAGAGGUCUAGGUCUGGAAGGGACCUUGUCAAGCAGUCCCAUGAGGUGGCUCCCCAGCCUCUCUCUCCAGCAACCUCUGUGGCCAGCGGUGGCCACACCCCAACACAGUUCAUUCUAUCUUUGGACAGCUCUGACUCAGAAAGUUCUUCGUUGGAUUGAGCUCACACCUGGUUCCCAGCAACAUCUGUCCACUGGUGUAGGGUGAGAGGGAGGAUUCUAUCCUAUCUCACUCCUACAGCAGCAAUCUCUCAGGUCUCUUGUUUCUGGGCCUCAAGUGUCAUCUCCCUUAACACUGGCUUUGUGCCCUGAGGACCAUGGUCAGUUCUGUGUCCUUAGGCCUCUGCUCCUCAGAAAUGGCUGCAGGGUUCCUGAAAAUGAUUCUGUUUUUAUUGUCUGGCCUCCAGCCCCCAGCUGAGUUCCUGGCACUGAGGAAAGGGGCGAAUGAAUGCUGGAUGGAGAUAGUGGGAGGGAAGUGAGCAGGAAGGGGAGAGGGAAACAGCUUUGUUAGUUGUAGAGCUGAAUGUGUUCUCCCGGGAUUUCCCCCAGCCAGGGGCCUCCACAGCCACCUGUGGCACUGGCCCCACCUCUGUUCCCAUCCAAAUGUCCACCAGAGCCCGCUUUCCAGCCCAGGACUGCCCAGUGGCUCUGACUUCACACCCUGCCAGCCCUGUGCAGCCCAUGGGGCAGAGAGAGAGAGUUCUCAGUGAGGGAAGCAGGAUGGCCACUUCUCUUCCCUUCCUGGAUCCUCUCCAUCCCAGCGUCCAACACCUGUGUUGUCUCUCCUGCCUUGUCAGCAGGAGCUAGGUCAGCAGUGGUAAGCCUGUUUGCACAAAACUUCCCUGUACGUUCUAAAUUAUUGGGCAGAUUUGCUUUGUUCCUGCUUGGGCUGGCAGUCAUCACCCUGAACCUAACUGUGACUAGGCCCUUAAUUAAGCAUUGCCUUGCUUUGAGACCCUCUAAUGAAAAGGGCUCCCACAAUAUGACAUAAUGUUUUAUUACAGGUAAUAAACUAAGAAAUAUCAGAACAGGAAGUGAUAAAGGGUUCUCUGAAGAACCUUGGGAAAAUGUUUCCUUCAUCAAAAGUUACUUUUGCGUCCUGUGCUAUUUUGUCCACUCCCAACCCCAAUGAAAGUUAAUGCAGAUGAAAACUUCCUUAACACUUAAAAAAGUGAAAUAUUAGUUUGGCUGCAAGAUGGUGAGUGCCAGUACUGCCUUUCUUUAUAUUUCAGAAUAGUUGAACCACUUUAUUCCUCUCUGUGGCCCAAAGAAGAUUUCUAAAUGCCUUUAAGCAGAGCUCUCCUUCUAUGCCUCUGCUGAGGUUUGCUCUUGUAGGAAGUCUUCUGGACCAAACAGCCCAAGCACUGAAUUUGGCUGUAUUUGUGUUAUGUUUCCUGCAUGUUGAGGGUUUGGCUGCCAAGACAUGGAUUGUGAAUGAGAUCUUCUGUUUUGGUUUCUGUUUCUGGAAGUAGCUAUUGAGCUCAAGGCAUUUCGUAUUUUAAAAAUAUAUACAUGUUUAAAGAUGA